AGCGAACGCUGGCGGCAGGCUUAACACAUGCAAGUCGAACGAACCUUUCGGGGUUAGUGGCGGACGGGUGAGUAACACGUGGGAACGUGCCUUUAGGUUCGGAAUAACUCAGGGAAACUUGUGCUAAUACCGAAUGUGCCCUUCGGGGGAAAGAUUAAUCGCCUUUAGAGCGGCCCGCGUCUGAUUAGCUAGUUGGUUGAGGUAAUGGCUCACCAAGGCGACGAUCAGUAGCUGGUCUGAGAGGAUGAUCAGCCACAUUGGGACUGAGACACGGCCCAAACUCCUACGGGAGGCAGCAGUGGGGAAUCUUGCGCAAUGGGCGAAAGCCUGACGCAGCCAUGCCGCGUGAAUGAUGAAGGUCUUAGGAUUGUAAAAUUCUUUCACCGGGGACGAUAAUGACGGUACCCGGAGAAGAAGCCCCGGCUAACUUCGUG
rnacentral:rRNA from 1 species